rnacentral:tRNA from 1 species
GGAGAGGUGCGAGAGUGGUUGAAUCGGCUCGCCUGGAAAGUGAGUUACCGCCAAAAGCGGUACGUGGGUUCGAAUCCCACCCUCUCCGCAA